rnacentral:rRNA from 15 species
AACCUGGUUGAUCCUGCCAGUACUAUAUACUUGUCUCAAAGAUUAAGCCAUGCAAUUGUCAGAAAAUCAUGUUCAGUCGCAAGAUUGAAAAUUGUGAAUCUGAGACUCGCUCCUUAAACAAAUCCUAGUGCAUCCUUUAGUUUGAAUAUGUUGUAUAACAUGUUUAUUAAAUGGAUACCUGACCUAACUGGUCAGUUAAUACAUGAUAACUUUAGUAGUCAUCUAUUUUUAAAUUGAAUUUUGGUGACUAAUAUUGGAAACUUUUUCGGAAGUGGAAGAUACGCAGACCUACAGAACAGGGUUUACCUGAUAUGAGUCUUUUGAUUCUUUGGAAUCAAGAAAUUUAACUGAAGGCCUUAAGGAACAAGGAUUUAAGGAUUAGUUAGUUGGUACGGUAGUGUCCUAUCAAGACUAUAAUCCUUACGAGAAAUUAUCGUUUGAUUUCGGAGAGAGAGCCUUAAAAACCGCUAUCACGUCUAAGGAAGGCAGCAGGCGCGCAAAUUACCCAAUAUCAAUUCGAUGAGGUAGUGACAAGACGUAAUGACCUCCCACUUUUAUGAGGGUUAUCCGCAAGGAUAUUACAAUGGUCUGAAAUUAAAAUUCUCAGAGAGAAACGACUAGAGGAAAAGUCUGGUGCCAGCACCCGCGGUAAUUCCAGCUCUAGUAGUAUAUAUUAAUGUUGUUGUAUUUAAAACGUUCGUAGUUUACUUAAGUUAUUUUUUAUUAUUGUCGGUUUAUUAACUCUACUUUUAUUUUAUGUGAAUAAAGUAAAGGGUUCACCUUCGGGUCGAUUUAAGGGAAGAUAACUCUUUAUUGGUGAGAAACAAUGUAGAGCUAUUUAUCAAAGCAUAAAUAGUAUCUUAUUGUGGAUCAUGGCAAUAAUUGAAAAGUAACGUUUAGAAGUGAGAAAAAAUCUAUAUGCUUCAUGUAAGCUAAACCGUUCUAAUCUUCGGAAAAGAACAAUUUUUUGCUUGAAAGUUAUAGCUUGCUAUCCUUUAAAAUUGUAUGGAAGUUAUUAUCCUUAGAGGUAAUAAAAGAAAUACAGUGUUUAUAAUGGAACUCAUGUCAAGUUAACAGUAUUACUAAGAUAGAGGUGAAAUUCAAUAACCCUAGUAAGACUACCUAAUGCUAACGCAGUUAACAAGACUGGCUUCAUCAAUCAGGAACUAAAGUUAGAGGAUCGAAGAUGAUUAGAUACCGUUGUAGUUCUAACCGUAAACUAUUUCGACAGAAAAUUGGUAUUAAAUAUUUUUAAAGAUAAUAUCAGAGUUCAAGGGAAACCUUAAGUUUUUGGAAUAUAGGGGGAAUACGAACGCAAGUUUGAAACUUAAAAGAAUUGACGGAAAAGCACCACCAGGUGUGGAUUCUGCGGCUUAAUUCGACUCAACGCGGGGAAACUUGCCAAGUUAGGAUACAAGUAGGAUUGACAGAGUAAAGCUCUUUCUUGAUUUUGUAGUUGGUGGUGCAUGGCCAUUCUUAGUUCGUGGAGUGAUUUGUCUUGUUAAUUCAGAUAACGAGCGAGACCUAAGCCAAUAUUUUUUAUGCUUUUUAUUUUCUUGUAAAAUAGAAUGACAAAAACUUCUAUUCAAAAACUAGAAAUAGUCGAAUACGAAGGUUAGUUAUUGGGAUACCUUAUUUUUUAUUACCGUUCAAAGGAAGGUGAAACGUUAGGCAAUAAUAGGUCUGUGAUGCCCUUAGAUAUCUUGGAAUGCACGCGGGAUACAAUAAUUAAGAUAAUAAGUUUAUUUUAAUUUACAUUGUGUUUUUUGCAUUAAUUGUAAGUAAAACCUGUUUCGAAAGGAAUGGGAAAUCUCCAAAUCUUAAUUUUGACAAGGAUUGUCUCUUGUAACAGAGACAUGAAAGAGGAAUACCUAGUAGGCGUGAGUCAACACCUCGCACCGAUUAAGUCCCUGCUUUUUGUACACACCGCCCGUCGCAUCAAGGAACACGAUUGAAGUCAUGAAGCUUACGGAUAGAUUACAUUAGUGAUUUAAAAGUAAACUGAAUGGUUUUUAUCUUACCAUGAUGAAGUCGUAACAAGGUUUUCGUAGGUGAACCUGCAGAAGGAUCAAGC